GCUGGGUGUGGUGGCUCACACCUGUAAUCCCAGUACUUUGGGAAGCUGAGGCAGGCGUAUCGCUUGAGUUCAGGAGUUCAAGAUUUGCCUGGGCAACAUGGUGAGAUCCUGUCUCUA
ensembl:misc_RNA Metazoa_SRP Metazoan signal recognition particle RNA